UAAGACUGAAGUGUGAUGGGGAGCGAAAUAUAGUAGCGAAGUCAAUGAAGCCAAACUCUCAAGAAAAGCCGCUAUCGAGAUAAGAGGUGCCCGUACCGCAAACCGACACAGGUAGUUGGGAAGAGAAUUCUAAGGUGAGCGAGAGAACCAUCGUUAAGGAACUCGGCAAAAUGACCCCGUAACUUCGGGAGAAGGGGUGCCUACGAGAGUAGGCCGCAGUGAAUAGGCCCAAGCGACUGUUUAACAAAAACACAGGUCUCUGCAAAACCGUAAGGUGAAGUAUAGGGGCUGACGCCUGCCCGGUGCUGGAAGGUUAAGAGGAGUGCUUAGCGUAAGCGAAGGUAUGAAUUGAAGCCCCAGUAAACGGCGGCCGUAACUAUAACGGUCCUAAGGUAGCGAAAUUCCUUGUCGGGUAAGUUCCGACCCGCACGAAAGGCGUAACGAUUUGGGCACUGUCUCAACGAUGGACUCGGUGAAAUCAUAGUACCUGUGAAGAUGCAGGUUACCCGCGACAGGACGGAAAGACCCCAUGGAGCUUUACUGUAGCUUGAUAUUGAAUUUUGAUGCAGUAUGUACAGGAUAGGUAGGAGCCAGAGAAUCAUGCACGCCAGUGUAUGAGGAGGCGUUGUUGGGAUACUACCCUUGCUGUAUUGAAAUUCUAACCCUCGGCGUAGAAGACCGGGAGACAGUGUCAGGUGG
rnacentral:rRNA from 1 species